AUUGAACGCUGGCGGCAGGCCUAACACAUGCAAGUCGAACGAGUGGCGGACGGGUGAGUAAUGUCUGGGAAACUGCCUGAUGGAGGGGGAUACCUACUGGAAACGGUAGCUAAUACCGCAUACCAUCGGAUGUGCCCAGAUGGGAUUAGCUAGUGGGUGGGGUAAAGGCUCACCUAGGCGACGAUCCCUAGCUGGUCUGCGAGGAUGACCGGCAACACUGGAACUGAGACACGGUCCAGACUCCUACGGGAGGCAGCAGUGGGGAAUAUUGCACAAUGGGGGCAAGCCUGAUGCAGCCAUGCCGGGUGUAGGAAGAAGGCCUUCGGGUUGUAAAGCACUUUCAGCGAGGAGGCGUUACUCGCAGAAGAAGCACCGGCUAACUCCGUGCCAGCAGCCGCGGUAAUAC
rnacentral:rRNA from 1 species